rnacentral:rRNA from 1 species
AGUGAACGCUGGCGGUAGGCCUAACACAUGCAAGUCGAACGGCAGCACAGUAAGAGCUUGCUCUUACGGGUGGCGAGUGGCGGACGGGUGAGGAAUACAUCGGAAUCUACUUUUUCGUGGGGGAUAACGUAGGGAAACUUACGCUAAUACCGCAUACGACCUACGGGUGAAAGCAGUGGAUCUUCGGACCUUGCGCGAUUGAAUUAGCCGAUGUCGGAUUAGCUAGUUGGCGGGGUAAAGGCCCACCAAGGCGACGAUCCGUAGCUGGUCUGAGAGGAUGAUCAGCCACACUGGAACUGAGACACGGUCCAGACUCCUACGGGAGGCAGCAGUGGGGAAUAUUGGGCAAUGGGCGAAAGCCUGACCCAGCCAUACCGCGUGGGUGAAGAAGGCCUUCGGGUUGUAAAGCCCUUUUGUUGGGAAAGAAAAGCAGCAGGUUAAUACCCCGCUGUUCUGACGGUACCCAAAGAAUAAGCACCGGCUAACUUCGUG